rnacentral:rRNA from 1 species
CUAAUACAUGCAAGUCGAGCGAACGGACGAGAAGCUUGCUUCUCUGAUGUUAGCGGCGGACGGGUGAGUAACACGUGGAUAACCUACCUAUAAGACUGGGAUAACUUCGGGAAACCGGAGCUAAUACCGGAUAAUAUUUUGAACCGCAUGGUUCAAAAGUGAAAGACGGUCUUGCUGUCACUUAUAGAUGGAUCCGCGCUGCAUUAGCUAGUUGGUAAGGUAACGGCUUACCAAGGCAACGAUGCAUAGCCGACCUGAGAGGGUGAUCGGCCACACUGGAACUGAGACACGGUCCAGACUCCUACGGGAGGCAGCAGUAGGGAAUCUUCCGCAAUGGGCGAAAGCCUGACGGAGCAACGCCGCGUGAGUGAUGAAGGUCUUCGGAUCGUAAAACUCUGUUAUUAGGGAAGAACAUAUGUGUAAGUAACUGUGCACAUCUUGACGGUACCUAAUCAGAAAGCCACGGCUAACUACGUGCCAGCAGCCGCGGUAAUACGUAGGUGGCAAGCGUUAUCCGGAAUUAUUGGGCGUAAAGCGCGCGUAGGCGGUUUUUUAAGUCUGAUGUGAAAGCCCACGGCUCAACCGUGGAGGGUCAUUGGAAACUGGAAAACUUGAGUGCAGAAGAGGAAAGUGGAAUUCCAUGUGUAGCGGUGAAAUGCGCAGAGAUAUGGAGGAACACCAGUGGCGAAGGCGACUUUCUGGUCUGUAACUGACGCUGAUGUGCGAAAGCGUGGGGAUCAAACAGGAUUAGAUACCCUGGUAGUCCACGCCGUAAACGAUGAGUGCUAAGUGUUAGGGGGUUUCCGCCCCUUAGUGCUGCAGCUAACGCAUUAAGCACUCCGCCUGGGGAGUACGACCGCAAGGUUGAAACUCAAAGGAAUUGACGGGGACCCGCACAAGCGGUGGAGCAUGUGGUUUAAUUCGAAGCAACGCGAAGAACCUUACCAAAUCUUGACAUCCUUUGACAACUCUAGAGAUAGAGCUUUCCCCUUCGGGGGACAAAGUGACAGGUGGUGCAUGGUUGUCGUCAGCUCGUGUCGUGAGAUGUUGGGUUAAGUCCCGCAACGAGCGCAACCCUUAAGCUUAGUUGCCAUCAUUAAGUUGGGCACUCUAAGUUGACUGCCGGUGACAAACCGGAGGAAGGUGGGGAUGACGUCAAAUCAUCAUGCCCCUUAUGAUUUGGGCUACACACGUGCUACAAUGGACAAUACAAAGGGCAGCGAAACCGCGAGGUCAAGCAAAUCCCAUAAAGUUGUUCUCAGUUCGGAUUGUAGUCUGCAACUCGACUACAUGAAGCUGGAAUCGCUAGUAAUCGUAGAUCAGCAUGCUACGGUGAAUACGUUCCCGGGUCUUGUACACACCGCCCGUCACACCACGAGAGUUUGUAACACCCGAAGCCGGUGGAGUAACCUUUUAGGAGCUAGCCGUCGA